GCGUAUGAGGAGCCAAGCAUA
rnacentral:miRNA from 4 species